rnacentral:rRNA from 1 species
GGCGGACGGGUGAGUAACACGUGGGGAUUUACCUUUAGGAGGGGGAUAACAAUUGGAAACGAUUGCUAAUACCCCAUAUGCUUUUGAGUGAAAUGGAUUUAUAUUUAUCCGCCUAGAGAGAAGCUCGCGGCUGAUUAGCUUGUUGGUAAGGUAAGAGCUUACCAAGGCGACGAUCAGUAUCUGGUUUGAGAGGACGAUCAGACACACUGGAACUGAGACACGGUCCAG